UGUGCAUAAGAUUUCAUGGUGAUCUCAGGUCUAAGGAUCACUUACACAACUCCCACUUAGAGAACCAUCUUUGACAUGCAAGUAAGGCUUCCAUAAGAUGUUCUCUUUUAUUGAGUCAAUUCAGUAAACUUAUUUUUCAAAUGAGCACCCACAUCUUUAUAUUAGUGUCCUACAUAAGUGGCUAGUGAGAUCUACCACCCUC
rnacentral:lncRNA from 1 species